GGGCGUAAGCGCGCGCAGGCGGUUUCUUAAGUCUGAUGUGAAAGCCCACGGCUCAACCGUGGAGGGUCAUUGGAAACUGGGGAACUUGAGUGCAGAAGAGAAAAGCGGAAUUCCACGUGUAGCGGUGAAAUGCGUAGAGAUGUGGAGGAACACCAGUGGCGAAGGCGGCUUUUUGGUCUGUAACUGACGCUGAGGCGCGAAAGCGUGGGGAGCAAACAGGAUUAGAUACCCUGGUAGUCCACGCCGUAAACGAUGAGUGCUAAGUGUUAGAGGGUUUCCGCCCUUUAGUGCUGCAGCUAACGCAUUAAGCACUCCGCCUGGGGAGUACGGUCGCAAGACUGAAACUCAAAGGAAUUGACGGGGG
rnacentral:rRNA from 2 species